rnacentral:rRNA from 2 species
UGACCUCGGAUCAGGUAGGAAUACCCGCUGAACUUAAGCAUAUCAAUAAGCGGAGGAAAAGAAA